rnacentral:rRNA from 1 species
GGGCUAAAUACACCACCGAAGCUGCGGAUUGAUACCAAUGGUAUCAGUGGUAGGGGAGCGUUCUAAGGACAGUGAAGUCAGACCGGAAGGACUGGUGGAGUGCUUAGAAGUGAGAAUGCCGGUAUGAGUAGCGAAAGACGGGUGAGAAUCCCGUCCACCGAAUGCCUAAGGUUUCCUGAGGAAGGCUCGUCCGCUCAGGGUUAGUCAGGACCUAAGCCGAGGCCGACAGGCGUAGGCGAUGGACAACAGGUUGAUAUUCCUGUACCACCUCUUUAUCGUUUGAGCAAUGGAGGGACGCAGAAGGAUAGAAGAAGCGUGCGAUUGGUUGUGCACGUCCAAGCAGUUAGGCUGAUAAGUAGGCAAAUCCGCUUAUCGUGAAGGCUGAGCUGUGAUGGGGAAGCUCCUUAUGGAGCGAAGUCUUUGAUUCCCCGCUGCCAAGAAAAGCUUCUAGCGAGAUAAAAGGUGCCUGUACCGCAAACCGACACAGGUAGGCGAGGAGAGAAUCCUAAGGUGUGCGAGAGAACUCUGGUUAAGGAACUCGGCAAAAUGACCCCGUAACUUCGGGAGAAGGGGUGCUUUCUUAACGGAAAGCCGCAGUGAAUAGGCCCAAGCGACUGUUUAGCAAAAACACAGCUCUCUGCGAAGCCGUAAGGCGAAGUAUAGGGGGUGACACCUGCCCGGUGCUGGAAGGUUAAGGAGAGGGGUUAGCGUAAGCGAAGCUCUGAACUGAAGCCCCAGUAAACGGCGGCCGUAACUAUAACGGUCCUAAGGUAGCGAAAUUCCUUGUCGGGUAAGUUCCGACCCGCACGAAAGGUGUAACGAUUUGGGCACUGUCUCAACCAGAGACUCGGUGAAAUUAUAGUACCUGUGAAGAUGCAGGUUACCCGCGACAGGACGGAAAGACCCCGUGGAGCUUUACUGUAGCCUGAUAUUGAAUUUUGGUACAGUUUGUACAGGAUAGGCGGGAGCCUUUGAAACCGGAGCGCUAGCUUCGGUGGAGGCGCUGGUGGGAUACCGCCCUGACUGUAUUGAAAUUCUAACCUACGGGUCUUAUCGACCCGGGAGACAGUGUCAGGUGGGCAGUUUGACUGGGGCGGUCGCCUCCUAAAGUGUAACGGAGGCGCCCAAAGGUUCCCUCAGAAUGGUUGGAAAUCAUUCGUAGAGUGCAAAGGCAUAAGGGAGCUUGACUGCGAGACCUACAAGUCGAGCAGGGACGAAAGUCGGGCUUAGUGAUCCGGUGGUUCCGCAUGGAAGGGCCAUCGCUCAACGGAUAAAAGCUACCCCGGGGAUAACAGGCUUAUCUCCCCCAAGAGUCCACAUCGACGGGGAGGUUUGGCACCUCGAUGUCGGCUCAUCGCAUCCUGGGGCUGUAGUCGGUCCCAAGGGUUGGGCUGUUCGCCCAUUAAAGCGGUACGCGAGCUGGGUUCAGAACGUCGUGAGACAGUUCGGUCCCUAUCCGUCGUGGGCGUAGGAAAUUUGAGAGGAGCUGUCCUUAGUACGAGAGGACCGGGAUGGACGCACCGCUGGUGUACCAGUUGUUCUGCCAAGGGCAUAGCUGGGUAGCUAUGUGCGGAAGGGAUAAGUGCUGAAAGCAUCUAAGCAUGAAGCCCCCCUCAAGAUGAGAUUUCCCAUAGCGUAAGCUAGUAAGAUCCCUGAAAGAUGAUCAGGUUGAUAGGUUCGAGGUGGAAGCAUGGUGACAUGUGGAGCUGACGAAUACUAAUAGAUCGAGGACUUAACCAUAUAA